GACGUUCUCGCGGGACAGCGUCUCGCGCCUCGCCCUCUUGGGGCGCGGGAGCUUGACACGGUGCGCGGGGUUCUUGGGGAGGAGGUCCCAGUCCACCGCCUGUUCAUCGCCUUGGAGAGACAGACGUGGAGGUG
rnacentral:misc_RNA from 1 species